AUUGAACGCUGGCGGCAGGCCUAACACAUGCAAGUCGGACGGUAGCACAGAGAGCUUGCUCUUGGGUGACGAGUGGCGGACGGGUGAGUAAUGUCUGGGGAUCUGCCCGAUAGAGGGGGAUAACCACUGGAAACGGUGGCUAAUACCGCACAACGUCGCAAGACCAAAGAGGGGGACCUUCGGGCCUCUCACUAUCGGAUGAACCCAGAUGGGAUUAGCUAGUAGGCGGGGUAAUGGCCCACCUAGGCGACGAUCCCUAGCUGGUCUGAGAGGAUGACCAGCCAAACUGGAACUGAGACACGGUCCAGACUCCUACGGGAGGCAGCAGUGGGGGAUAUUGCACAAUGGGCGCAAGCCGGAUGCAGCCAUGCCGCGUGUAUGAAGAAGGCCUUCGGGUUGUAAAGUACUUUCAGCGGGGAGGAAGGCGGUACGGUUAAUAACCGUACCGAUUGACGUUACCCGCAGAAGAAGCACCGGCUAACUCCGUGCCAGCAGCCGCCGUAA
rnacentral:rRNA from 1 species